UACGAAGGGGGCGAGCGUUGCUCGGAAUUACUGGGCGUAAAGGGCGCGUAGGCGGGAUGGCAAGUCGGUCGUGAAAUCCCUCGGCUCAACUGAGGAUCGUCGAUCGAUACUGCCGUUCUUGAGGAUUGCAGAGGAGACUGGAAUUCCCGGUGUAGCGGUGAAAUGUGUAGAGAUCGGGAGGAACACCGGUGGCGAAGGCGGGUCUCUGGGCAAUUCCUGACGCUGAGGCGCGAAAGCGUGGGGAGCAAACGGG
rnacentral:rRNA from 1 species